AUAAUAAAGAAUUUUGAAAAUUUAAAACCGAGGAAAAUCAGUACGAUAGCAGCAUUAACUCACAUCAUUAAUCAUAUAUGUCAUAACAACCAUCUUGAGAAGAUAAGAACAUUUGUGAACAAGAACAUAAAACAACAAAGUUUAGACUUUCACCGUAAGCUAGAACUACGCAGGUCUCAAAUCAAGCAGCUGAGAAACUAUUUUUCGUAUUUUGAAAUUUGACAAUAUUCACAAAAAUGAAUGAUCAAUCAAGCAAAAAUAAUAACUAUAAUGCUCUUAUAUUUGUAUUUAUCUAUAUAAUUAUAUAGAAAGUUUCUAUAUUCU